CCUACGGGUGGCAGCAGUGAGGAAUAUUGGUCAAUGGCCGGAAGGCUGAACCAGCCAUGCCGCGUGAAGGUCAGUGCCCUAUGGGCGUUAAACUUCUUUUGUGCGGGAGCAAUGCCGGGCACGUGUGCCCGGAGGGAGAGUACCCGCAGAAUAAGCAUCGGCUAACUCCGUGCCAGCAGCCGCGGUAAUACGGAGGAUGCGAGCGUUAUCCGGAUUUAUUGGGUUUAAAGGGUGCGUAGGCGGAUUUUUAAGUCAGCGGUAAAAUGUCCGGGCUCAACCCGGGCCGGCCGUUGAAACUGGGGAUCUUGAGUGGGCGAGAAGUAUGCGGAAUGCGUGGUGUAGCGGUGAAAUGCAUAGAUAUCACGCAGAACUCCGAUUGCGAAGGCAGCCUACUAAACUGCCACUGACAUUGAUGCUCGAAAGUGUGGGUAUCAAACAGGAUUAGAUACCCCAGUAGUC
rnacentral:rRNA from 1 species